rnacentral:rRNA from 1 species
CCUACGGGUGGCAGCAGUGAGGAAUAUUGGUCAAUGGGCGGGAGCCUGAACCAGCCAAGCCGCGUGAGGGAAGAAGGUACAGCGUAUCGUAAACCUCUUUUGUCAGGGAACAAAGGCGGGGACUAGUCCCCGGAUGAGGGUACCUGAAGAAAAAGCAUCGGCUAACUCCGUGCCAGCAGCCGCGGUAAUACGGAAGGCCCGAGCGUUAUCCGGAUUCAUUGGGCUUAAAGGGAGCGUAGGCGGGCGUUCAAGUCAGCUGUAAAAUCGCGCGGCUCAACCGCGCCCCGCAGUUGAAACUGGACGCCUUGAGUUCACAACAGGCAGGCGGAAUUCGUGGUGUAGCGGUGAAAUGCAUAGAUAUCACGAGGAACCCCGAUUGCGAAGGCAGCCUGCCGGGGUGCGACUGACGCUGAGGCUCGAAGGUGCGGGUAUCAAACAGGAUUAGAUACCCGUGUAGUC